rnacentral:lncRNA from 1 species
AGCAGUUCUCCCACCUCAGUCUCCUGAGUAGCUGGAAUACAGGAAAGAAAAUGAAGUGGUUGAAAACAAAGUUAGAGCUGAAGAGUUAAGUUUCUGGUGCCUGCGUUGGAGAGUUUUGCUGAUUGAUCCUGUCAUUUUUAAACAAUAUAUGCUACCAAAAAAGAAAGUCUUCUAAGCCCCAGGGUCCAGUGCUGAUAAAGAGACUGAGCCUCAGAGACCCUAAAUGAUGCUUCAAGGCCCCAAGCGCAGCCCCCACCAUGCUUCACACCAUCAGUCUCUGUUCCCUCUACUUGGAGAAGACCUUGUCCAUUCCAAAGUGAAGUGAAAAAAGAAAUGUAGGAGGGGAAACCUGGACAUUCCAUGGACGCGACUGGGGGUGGUUCAAAAGAGCUCCUUACCCAGAGUGAUGGGCUUGACAUUUUGUCCUUACUGUUGUCCACUGAAAGGUUAAAUAACAGGUGAGAGGCCACGUGGCAAAUGCAAAGUGCCUAGAGUGUAAAGUAGCAGAAGGCUGCCUUAAAACCCCAGCUUCCCCACGUACACUGUGAGCCUGGCCAAGUUCCCUGAGAUCUCUGAACCUCAGUUCCUCGUUCGUUACAUGACGGAAAUCGUGUUGACCUCAUAGGGUUUACUGUGAGAAUUGAAUGAGAGACGGGGUUUCACUACGUUGCCCAGGUUGGUCUGG